GGUGAACAAAGGAAUCUGCUUUUCAAUACCACACUGCCUGCUGCAACCAAAUGUCACUGCAGGGCUUAACAGAAAUAUAGUCUCCCCUCAGUAUACAAGGAGGAUUGGUUCCAGGACCGUAACACCCACCCGUCACCUAAAUCCACGCAUAUUCAAGUCCCACGGUGGGCCCUGAGGAACCCGCGUACAGGAAAAGUUGGCUCUCUACAUAUGCAGGUUUUAUAUCCUGUGAAUAGGGUAUUUUUGAUCUGCCUUUGGUUGAAAAAUAUCUGUGUAUAAGUGGACCUAUGCAACUGUAAUCUCAAAUUUACAGAAAGUUACAAAAAUAAAAACAGU
rnacentral:lncRNA from 1 species